rnacentral:rRNA from 1 species
AUUGAACGCUGGCGGCAUGCCUUACACAUGCAAGUCGAACGGCAGCACGGGUGCUUGCCCCUGGUGGCGAGUGGCGAACGGGUGAGUAAUACAUCGGAACAUGUCCUGUAGUGGGGGAUAGCCCGGCGAAAGCCGGAUUAAUACCGCAUACGACCUACGGAUGAAAGCGGGGGACCUUCGGGCCUCGCGCUUUAGGGUUGGCCGAUGGCUGAUUAGCUAGUUGGUGGGGUAAAGGCCUACCAAGGCGACGAUCAGUAGAUGGUCUGAGAGGACGACCAGCCACACUGGGACUGAGACACGGCCCAGACUCCUACGGGAGGCAGCAGUGGGGAAUUUUGGACAAUGGGCGAAAGCCUGAUCCAGCAAUGCCGCGUGUGUGAAGAAGGCCUUCGGGUUGUAAAGCACUUUUGUCCGGAAAGAAAUCCUUGGCUCUAAUACAGUCGGGGGAUGACGGUACCGGAAGAAUAAGCACCGGCUAACUACGUG